rnacentral:rRNA from 1 species
CCUGCGGGAGGCAGCAGUGAGGAAUAUUGGUCAAUGGACGCAAGUCUGAACCAUCCAUGCCGCGUGCAGGAAGACGGCUCUAUGAGUUGUAAACUGCUUUUGUACGAGGGUAAACGCAGAUACGCGUAUCUGUCUGAAAGUAUCGUACGAAUAAGGAUCGGCUAACUCCGUGCCAGCAGCCGCGGUAAUACGGAGGAUUCAAGCGUUAUCCGGAUUUAGUGGGGUUAAAGGGUGCGUAGGCGGUUCGAUAAGUUAGAGGUGAAAUCCCGGGGCUCAACUCCGGCACUGCCUCUGAUACUGUCGGGCUAGAGUUUAGUUGCGGUAGGCGGAAUGUAUGGUGUAGCGGUGAAAUGCAUAGAGAUCAUACAGAACACCGAUUGCGAAGGCAGCUUACCAAACUACGACUGACGUUGAGGCACGAAAGCGUGGGGAGCAAACAGGAUUAGAUACCCCAGUAGUC